rnacentral:rRNA from 1 species
AAAGUGCGUCGUAGUCCGGAUUGGAGUCUGCAACUCGACUCCAUGAAGUCGGAAUCGCUAGUAAUCGUGGAUCAGAAUGCCACGGUGAAUACGUUCCCGGGCCUUGUACACACCGCCCGUCACACCAUGGGAGUGGGUUGCAAAAGAAGUAGGUAGCUUAACCUUCGGGAGGGCGCUUACCACUUUGUGAUUCAUGACUGGGGUGAAGUCGUAACAAGGUAACCGUAGGGGAACCUGCGGUUGGAUCACCUCCUUA